rnacentral:lncRNA from 1 species
GACUUCACAAAUAUAUAUAUAGUUGGAAACAUCUGCGAUGGUUUACAUGGUUUGUGAUUUGGUGUUAUAAAGCUAUUUGGGAAUUUAGUGAACCAUGUAAUUAUUAUGAGAUUUUAUUUGGAGUUCACCCAAUGGGGUAUUUAGCUAAGGAAGAGUUUUAGUGCAAAGUAUGCCAACCCAAUAUGUUUAUUGGAGUUUAAGCUAAUUUAUGAAACAAAGUUUCAUAAUAGAUUUCAAAGUCUAUUUUAUUUAGUACUUAUAAAGCCGUAAUGACAUUUAUAUAAGCAAAAGUAUUUUCACUUAUUUUAUUUUGAAAGGAUUCAGGUCCCAAAAGUUCACACUUUGGAGUAUUUGAAUUUACAAAUUUACUGGAGUUUAUUUGAACUUAUUUGGAAUUAGGAAUCAAAACUUAUUAAUAAAAAAGAAAGAAAAAAAAAGAUAAUGGACCGACCCAAACUGGGCCGGCUCAUCUCCACCGAGCAGCCCAGCGAGAGCACGAGCACGAGCUCGUCUUCCUCCUCUGCACAUAAGGAAAUCUCUCCUGCCAUAUUUUCUUUCUUCGAUUUCUUUCCUUCCCGCGCGUCUCUCUCCGAAAGGAAACCACCCAUCAAUCCUCAUCAUCCCGGGAACACAUUCAGGCAACUAAUUUGAAGUUUCCUCUCAUAAUCGCAGUUUCCAAAAGAGGCGCCCCGAAUGCC